CGAAUCUAUGGGGACAGCCGCUCCGCUCACGCGGGGAGGAAAGUCCGGACUCCGUAGAGCGGGAAGUCCUCUCUAUAAAGGGGAUACCGUGGACCAUACGCCACGGGAAGGAAAGUGCCACAGAAAAUAUACCGUCCCGCUGUAUAGCGGGAUAAGGGUGAAAUGGUGGGGUAAGAGCCCACCGCCCGGUCAGGUGACUGCCGGGGCAGGGUAAACCCCUUCCGGAGCAAGACCAAAUAGGGAACGAUGAUGCUGCUCGUAUCGCUUGAGUUCCGGGUAUCGGUCGCCAAGAUGAAUGGUUGUCUAAAACAGAAUCCGGCUUACACCAGGAUUCGUCGA
rnacentral:RNase_P_RNA from 1 species